ensembl:lncRNA
UAAAAGGAGUAUUUUCUCGGGUUCGCACUGAAAACACAGUCUUCAGCUCCGACUCGGAGCAGGUUGGAAUGCGUCCAACUCCGCUUGAAAAUCCAGAUCAAUGUCUCCCGGACUGUGGUGCCAUCCCUUAGCCAUCACGAGCCCCCCACCACCCCUACCCACACACCCACCCUGGUCACACCUUCUCCACUUCACGGCGGUGACGUGGAGAGGACAGCGGCACCAACGUCGCCACACAGGAGGAAAGAGUCUCCAGGAAGAUCAGUGGAAGAAGGUGGUCUGAGGAAUGCAAGAGGGAGGCUGUGUUCACACGGUCGAUGCGGUCAGCCACCAGUGGGAAACCCUUUGAAGCGGCGGGAUUUUGAUGGGAUGAGAUGCGACGAGCUCUCAUCGAUUGUAGCAGAUGGUAAACUGG